rnacentral:rRNA from 1 species
UACGUAGGGGGCAAGCGUUGUCCGGAUUUAUUGGGCGUAAAGAGCGUGUAGGCGGUUAGGUAGGUCCGUUGUGAAAACUCGAGGCUCAACCUCGAGACGCCGAUGGAAACCAUCUGACUAGAGUCCGGAAGAGGCGAGUGGAAUUCCCGGUGUAGCGGUGAAAUGCGCAGAUAUCGGGAGGAACACCUAUGGCGAAGGCAGCUCGCUGGGACGGUACUGACGCUGAGACGCGAAAGCGUGGGGAGCAAACAGG